AAAGAGACGCCACUGUUCUGAGACAAGAUCCAACCACCACCACCACACACUCCGUUGUUCCUCGUUCGUUCGUUCAUCCUGGACCUGGAUCCCGCUCGGCGAUCGCCACCACCAACAGCAGCAAGUAGCAAGCGAUCGUUCGUUACAAACCGUCAGAUUUGCCAUUGCAUGAUCACAUCCUUUUCUCUAUCUGUAAUGUGAACCGUGAUGUGUAAAGCUACUAGCUAGUAUAUAUGCUUUCAGGGUUGUUGCUACAUCACUUCUCUUCUCCUUUUCUUUCUCUUUUUCAAUUUUUUUUUCUUUUGUGAUGGAGGCAAUCAUAUUACCAGGGUUGUUCUUACAGUUCUUGUCCCGAGAAACAAAACAACCAACAUAUAUGUAUAUGCAAGAGAGAAAAAAUUAAUUAACAGGUGGGUGAGGAGGAGCGGUAAAGAUCCACUCGCCAGGAAGAAGUGAGAGGUCGCUGGCGGCUAAUGCCGUCUGCCCGUCUCCGUGGCAAGAUAGACGGACAGCGGACAAGUAAAAUUUACUUGCGGCUGCGGCGGCGGCGCGUCUUCUCCCCCGACGAGCCGUCCUCCUGGGCAGAGCAGAAGGCGUCGCCGGCCCCGGCCCCACCCCCGCGGAUGACGAAGUGGCCGAGCGACGGGGUGCCGCUUCCCGCGACGCGGUUCUCGUCGCACAGGAACUCCCUGCUCAGCACCUGCUCCACCUCGAACUGGAAGUCGUGCACGAGCACGUCGGUGGGGCCCUUAGCCGCGGUGGCGCCGGAGCGCGCCAGCACGGCGGUGGUGAAGAUGGACGGCAUCCGGCCGGGCGAGUUGGGGUUCCAGCCGGACGGCCCGUCGAUGAGGACCACGUCCCAGGCCACGUCGUAGAGGUCGUUGGGCAGGUCGUUGAUGGCGAGGCGGCACUCGGAGAAGAGCAGGUUCUGCACGGGCCGGCACUCCUUGGCCCUCGCCGCCCGCGCCGCCGCCAGCAGGUCCCGGAAGUCGCGCACCUUCGUCGUGUAGGACACGUCGUACGCCUCCAUCCCGGGGUGCCGCGGCUCCAGGUACUUGACGUAGAACUCGUUCUCCUCCAGGAACACGGUCCGCCCGCCGUGGUUCAGCGCCAGCCACAGCGGGGAUUCCGCGCCCAGCCCGAACACCAGCAGGUUGCAGGGCGCCCGCGCGCGGAGCACGGACGACAUGGCCCGGAUGUCCGUGUCCGACAUGCGGUGCGUCGCGUUCGAGAUGGACGCGAAGUGGACCAGCGCCUCGAACACCGGGACCGGCAGCCGCUUGGACACGGACUCGGGCCCUGCUUGGCCUUGGCCGCCGCCGCCGCCCGCAGAGCCGGAGGUCGUGGUGGUGGUGGUGGUGGUAGAGGCCGCGAUGGAGCCGGAGCCGGAG
rnacentral:lncRNA from 1 species